AGAGAGGCCGUAGGGACCGACGGCGGGCUAGCUAGUGCUUCCGUUUUGGCCGCCUUGCGAGCGCUCGGGUUGAGUUUCCCGGGCUUCCCCGACUCGACUGCCUGUUCUGGAGGUCGGGCGUUGGGCCCUUGCAGAGAUCGCCGAGGGGCCAGCGCGGCCGCCCGAGCCUGGGCCCAGUCCCCAGUCCUCAGAGACGCACUCGACCUUCCUGCUCCGAAGAGCUGGCUUGAUGUCCUCGGGUCGCGCUCAGCAGGUUCUUACUUUUCCAAACCUAGAGGGCAGUGCAUGAAGCCAGGAGUCAUCAGCCAUGCUCCAGACAGUGUGGUUCCAGGGUUUGAGCAGGAACCUGUUGUUUCAGGAGCCGGUGACCUUUGAGGAUGUGGCUGUGUACUUCACCCAGAAUGAAUGGGCCAGCCUGCACCCUAUGCAGCGGGCCCUGUACAGGGAGGUGAUGCUGGAGAAUUAUGCAAAUGUGACUUCCUUGUGACUUUUCUCUUCCCUGAUUCCUAAUGGAGACCCAACUGCAGGGGGCUUUCCUCUGAGCACAGAGAGAACUGAGAAGGUUCCUGGUGCACUGCCUUCAUUCCUUCCAUCUUCCAGUUCCCUGGAGGUGAUCUUGGCCCUAUUGCCUAUGUCAGCAUUUCCAUUCUCCAAACCAGAUCUGAUAUUCCAGCUGGAGCAAGGAGAAGCAGCAUGGGGCCCAGAUCCCUGGACACUUGCUGGGGGAGAGGCCCUGAGAGGCAUGUGCACAGGUGGUAAAACCAAGACUAAGAAUGAGGAACAAACUGCACAGCUAAACAUUUCUAAAGAAUCAGAGUCCCACAGACUGAUAGUGGAGGGACUGCUGAUGAACAUUCCCCAGCACCCUGACUUCAAGGACAGGUUAGAGAAGUCACAACAUGAUACAGGGAAGAAAACAAAUAUAGGGGAUUGCACAGAUUUGGCAGUCCAGGAUCAUAAAUCUUCCACCAUUGAAAGGGAGGAGAUAGCCAGGAAAUUGGAAGAAAGUAGUGUCAGCACACAUCUCAUUACAAAGCAAGACUUUGCCAAAGAACAGGUGUUUUAUAAAUGUGGUGAGUGUGGCAGUUACUACAACCCACAUUCAGACUUUCACCAGCAUCAGAGAAUUCACACUAAUGAGAGGCCCUACACAUGCAAAGAAUGUGGGAAAACCUUCAGAUACAACUCAAAACUGUCAUGGCAUCAGAAAAUCCACACUGGAGAGAAACCAUACUCAUGUGAGGAAUGUGGACAAGCCUUUGGUCAAAAUUCCCACCUUUUUCAGCAUCAGAAGCUCCAUGGUGGACAGAGGCCCUGUGAAUGUACUGACUGUGGGAAAACCUUCAGCUAUAAUUCAAAACUGAUUGAGCAUCAGAGAAUCCAUACUGGGGAGAAGCCCUUUAAAUGUCAGGAAUGUGGGAAAGUCUUCAGGUGUAGCUAUGACUGCAUCAUCCAUGAACGAAUUCACACUGGGGAGAAGCCCCAUGAAUGUAAGGAGUGUGGGAAGAGUUUGAGUUCUAAUUCAAUUCUGAUUCAGCAUCAGAGAAUCCACACUGGGGAGAAACCUUAUGAAUGUAAAGAGUGUGGCAAGGCCUUCCACCACAGUUCAGUAUUUCUUCAGCACAAGAGGUUCCACACUGGGGAACAACUCUACAAAUGUAAUGAAUGUUGGAAAACUUUCAGUUGUAGCUCCCACUUCAUAGUGCAUCAGAGAAUCCACACUGGGGAGAAACCCUAUGAAUGCCAGGAAUGUGGGAAGACAUUCAGUCAGAAGAUCACUCUGGUUCAGCAUCAGCGAGUUCACACUGGGGAGAAACCUUAUGAGUGUAAGGAGUGUGGGAAAGCCUUCAGAUGGAAUGCAAGUUUCAUUCAGCAUCAGAAGUGGCAUACCAGAAAGAAACUCAUCAAUGGAACAGGGCUAUCUGCAGUUAAGCCCUACUGCUCCUCCACUGUCCUCUCUCCUCUGCCUCCCCAACAUGCCUGCUCUACCCCAGCCCCACCAGGGCCUCCCUUAUCUUCUUCACAUGCAGUGGUACUUCCUCCCUCUUUGCCUUUCUUCCUGCUGCUUCCCUCAUCUGAAAAGGCCAGUCCUUCACCUGUCCAAAUAGUACAUUUCUUUCAGGAUCUCGCUUCUUCUGGGAAGUCAUCCCCUCAUAGCCCAAAUCCUUUGUCUCACUCCCUGUAAGCCCCCUUAUGUUCUCAACAUCAAUUGCACAUCAAGUUAGGGAUUCCACUGGUCUCCUGAUUGUGUCUAUUGAUAUUCCUCUGGUCUUGUGUUGUAUAAAUUGUUACUGUUUUCCUAACUUCAUUUUAAGUUCUCACACUUAAGGACCAUGUUUGAUUAGUUUAUUUUAUCCCCCAGGUAGGAAAUGGCAGCACUUAAUUCCUUAUCAUGUUCACAUUUGGGCUGUAUUAUCAGUCUGCAUCUUCUGGAGCUACUGGAGUUGGAAGAAUUUGCAGAACAUUUUGAGGUUUAGGGCAUAUGGCAUUAUGAUUAUGAUGAGAUGGGGCAUUAUAAUUAGAGGCUAGGAGAAAUGCAAAGCCUAUGGGAGAAGAUAAUCAGAUAAAGUUUCCAAUGAUUGCUUUCAGGAGUUUUUUUGUUUUUUUGUUUGUUUGUUUUUUGAGCCAGAGUUUCACUCUUGUCGCCCAGGCUGGAGUGCAAUGGUGCGAUCUUGGCUCACUGCAACCUCUGCCUCCAGGGUUCAAGUGAUUCUCAUGCCUCAGCCUCCUGAGUAGCUGGGACCACAGGCAUGCACCACCAUGCCCAGCUAAUUUUGUAUUUUUAGUAGAGACAGGGUUUCACCAUGUUGGCCAGGCUGGUCUCAAAAUCCUGACUUCAGGUGAUCCACCCACCUCGGUCUCCCAAAGUGCUAGGAUUACAGGCAUGAGCCACUGCAUCCAGCCUGCUUUCAGGAUUUAAGGAGGGCUAUUUGGUGGACCAGUGGCAAGGCUCACUGAAAGAAUUUAAAACUUGGAAUUUUUUAUUACCUUGAUAGCAUAAAAAAUUAUGAGGGUCCUGUUUAUGCAGGAAGAAAAUGAAGUGAUGAGUUGGCAUUGAUAGCAAUAAUGUAAAAUUAUGUCUUUGAGCUUUAUUGGAAGAGGACAUGGUUUUUCAGUUUGGGUUCCUUCUCUAUUUUCUUUUUACAUUUUCCUUUUUUUUUUAGAGACAGGGUCUUGCUCUGUCACCCAGGCUGGAGUGCAGUGGUGUGAUCAUGGAUCACUGCAGUGUUGACCUUUGGGGCUCAAGCAAUCUAGGAGGUAGUGCAGCCUCCCAGCUUCUCAGAGGGCUGAUGUGGGAGGAUUGCUUGAGCCCUGGGGGCAUACACCACCACACCCAGCUUAUUUUUGUAUUUUUUGUUGAGACAGAGUUUUGCCAUGUUGCCCAGGCUGGUCUCAAACUCCUGGACUCAAGUGAUCCUCCCACUUCAGCCUCCCAAAGUGCUGGGAUUACAGGCCUGAGCCACCAGUUCCAGCCUCUAUUCUUUUUCAUAUCUGUUGAAUUUCAGUACCCGCUCAUAUAUGUAGGUACGAAAAGUGACUUGGACUUGCACCCUUUAGAGUAGAUGCCUGAGUAUAGUAAUCUCUAAAGCUAUACAUGGACUGAACUUGUUGGCAUCACACUGGUGAGCACCAGAGGCAAAGAGAAGAGAAACCUGACCAUGACUUGCUGUAGUUCCUCAGAAGUGAGUCCAUUCCUGAUGAGUUACUAUGCAGGCCCUUGGAUGUUCUCACACCUACUCCAGAUUUCCCUAUGACUAAAUCUGAAUUUUAUUGGUGGCAGUUUUAAGUUAAUUUUAUAAAGAACUGUUUUGGUGACACCAAGAAAUUUUUUCUAUGAGAGAUUGCUAUGGUUUGAAUAUCCCCAGCAAAAUUCAUGUUGAAACUUAAUCCCCAUUGUAACAGUACUGGGUGGGGGGCCUUUAAGAGUGAUUAGAAUUAGAUAAGUUCAUCAGGGUGGAGCCUCCACAAUGGGACUGGUGGCUUUAUGAGGAGAGGAAGAGCAAUGUGAACUGGGACACAUGCUUGCUCUGUCUUGCCUUUUGAUGCCUCCUACCAUGUCAUGAUGCAGCAAGUAAGCCCUCACCAGAUGCCUGCACCUUUAUAUUGGACUUCUCAGCCUUCAGAACUGUGAACUAAAUAAACCUCUAUUCUGUAUAAAUUA